rnacentral:misc_RNA from 1 species
UCAUCUUUUUAACCGACUUCCAAAAAAGGAGGAGGUUCUCAAUUCGACUGUAUUUUUUUUUUUUUUUUUUUUUUUUUUUUUUUUUUUUUUUUUUUUUUUUUUUUUUUUUUUUUAUAUAUUACAUUUUAUUCUUCAUCAUAUAGGUCUCUUACGACUAUCUCGUCGAGAAAGUCUGCUGGUGCAGAUAUUAUGUUUGUUUCGUGCCUGGCCCAUCCUAGGUACCACACGACUGUCAUUACGUGUGCGCAACAACCUACAGUACGCCGACCAACUAAACAAUUGCAACAAUAUUCCACUAUACUCGAUCUGCUACAAUUAUUGUUUUCGAUUAGUAUAUAAACAUAAUAUUGUUUCCUGGAAACGUGUCGCGAUUUUAUUUUUCCUCUUAUUAAAGUCGUUUCUCCAGUUCCCCUUAAGUUAUAUACAGAGGUAUCAAUUCUUUCGCUACAGACUUCAAUUCUAUACCCGCCAUGAAAACGUAUGUGCUCCCCAUAAUAGGAGCGAGCUUGACGAAUUU